UGGGGAAUAUUGCACAAUGGGCGCAAGCCUGAUGCAGCCAUGCCGCGUGUGUGAAGAAGGCCUUCGGGUUGUAAAGCACUUUCAGCGAGGAGGAAGGGUAGUGUGUUAAUAGCACAUUGCAUUGACGUUACUCGCAGAAGAAGCACCGGCUAACUCCGUGCCAGCAGCCGCGGUAAUACGGAGGGUGCAAGCGUUAAUCGGAAUUACUGGGCGUAAAGCGCACGCAGGCGGUUUGUUAAGUCAGAUGUGAAAUCCCCGCGCUUAACGUGGGAACUGCAUUUGAAACUGGCAAGCUGGAGUCUUGUAGAGGGGGGUAGAAUUCCAGGUGUAGCGGUGAAAUGCGUAGAGAUCUGGAGGAAUACCGGUGGCGAAGGCGGCCCCCUGGACAAAGACUGACGCUCAGGUGCGAAAGCGUGGGGAGCAAACA
rnacentral:rRNA from 1 species